AAUACUUCCCUCUUACACUACUAGUUACUGGGCAAAGGAAUAAUAUUAUGCAUAACUGUGAACCCUGCCGACAGGCCUACCGGUCCUUCAGUGCAUUAAUGCUACGUCACCUGACUUCUGCUUCCACUGGAGGUCGCGGCCAAACCAAAAGUCUGUAAAAAGAUUUUUUUUCUCACCACCUCUGGGCUGAACUGGACUGAGACUCAGACCUGAUCCCCAACAUCAGCUCCGGACCUCACCGGUGCUCUUGUGUCUGAACGGGGGUGGAGCAGCACGUUAAUGAACAUGGUGUCACGUUGGCACAGAUGGAGGUGGUGUAAACAUGGCAGCAGCAGCUCUCCUCCUGGUGGGAGACAUUUCCUCACCAGGGAGGCGGCCCAGGUGUUCAUCCAGGUGCUUCUCAUCUCCCACCUGGACCGCUGCCACUCUCUGCUCACCGUCUGCCAUCACACCUCUGCUGCUGCUGUCUGGUGUUUCCCCACAACGCUCCUCUUCUGCGUCCACGCCGGCUCCCUGCUGCAGCUCACAUCCACUCCAGGACUCUGCUGAUCUGCAGGGCAGCACAGCAUUUACACACAUGCUCUUAAGACCUGAUUCAGACUCUAGACUGCAAGUGGAUCUGUCCAUAUCUGAGAGGGUCUGUGUGUGCUCGCAGACACCAGUUAUUAAUUAAUCUUACAAAGCCACAAAUAGAUGCAUCACCUCGUUGCUUUGCAUCCUGCAAACAGCUGUGUUCAAAGAAACGUCUUCAAAACACGACCAGCAAGUUCUCAUCCCAGAGUGUCAAUAUAUUAUAUAUAAGAUACCCUUCAGCGUCCGUAUGAGACUUUCACCUAACUCCAAAUCAUAAUCUUUGACUAAACCCAACCUAAAAGUAGAUUUGGAGCUAAACCCUUAAGCGACAUUUCACAUCUUAAAAAGGUGUUUCCUACGGACGCUGAAAGAGACCUUGUGCGUCAAAUACCCUGGGAUGAGAACGUGUUAUUAUGAGGCGAGGCGGUGGAAACAGUACCGCUUUUGUCCACAGGAGCCACCAGAGUCAACACAAACAAUUUCCCUACACUUGCUUUCAUGUGAAUAAAUAGAAUGUGAAUAAAUAUCAGAAGCAUUUCACUGUGACCACAACUGAGCAGAUAGACAUAAACGAGUGCAGCCUGUCUGAAUUUAUCCGUCCAUCGCUGCGUCUGUUGCCUGUAAAACCCAAACUCGGCCUGAUGCUUCCCUUUAAACUGAACAUGAUACGCCGACCCUCAUGCUGACCUGUCGCACAGAGAAAGAGUUUCCCCCUCCGAAUACUGACACCUGCCCUAAAAACACAGAUUAGUAAUUCCUGCACUCAGCAUGUGUAUAUUUGUAUAUCCAGGUAUACUUACUUGUGUGAGACCCUACUCAGAUGUAGAAAUGUCAGGUGGAGGUGGGAGGCUGUGUGUGGAUAAGAGGAGGACUGCACGGGUAAAAUCUUUGGUAAACCUCACUUGAUUUUGAUUUUCCAGUUUGACGCUGAAGCUCAAUAUCUGGUCCUUAAAAAAGCCCUUAAAAAUAUAUUGUUCAAAUGACUUUAAUACGUCGUCAGAACUGCUGGAAGCCAUGAGAUGAUAUUUGAGGAACAUGUCUGUAUGGUUGGAAUAACUUCAUGUGUUCUGUGUCUUUCAGGAGGAAAAAUCUGCUGACAGUCGUCAUCGGAUGACGGCAGUGAAAACAGUAUCACCUGCAGCAAGAUCCUCCGACCCCCCACCUUCACACAACAAAAACUAAAAUAGAACAAAAGAUUAAAUAAACAAAGAAAGACAACAAAGAAAAGAAAA